GGAAUUUUGGACAAUGGGCGCAAGCCUGAUCCAGCAAUGCCGCGUGAGUGAAGAAGGCCUUCGGGUUGUAAAGCUCUUUUGUCAGGGAAGAAACGGUGGAGGCUAAUAUCCUCUGCUAAUGACGGUACCUGAAGAAUAAGCACCGGCUAACUACGUGCCAGCAGCCGCGGUAAUACGUAGGGUGCAAGCGUUAAUCGGAAUUACUGGGCGUAAAGCGUGCGCAGGCGGUUUUGUAAGUCUGAUGUGAAAUCCCCGGGCUCAACCUGGGAAUUGCAUUGGAGACUGCAAGGCUAGAAUCUGGCAGAGGGGGGUAGAAUUCCACGUGUAGCAGUGAAAUGCGUAGAUAUGUGGAGGAACACCGAUGGCGAAGGCAGCCCCCUGGGUCAAGAUUGACGCUCAUGCACGAAAGCGUGGGGAGCAAACAGGAUUAGAUACCCUUG
rnacentral:rRNA from 1 species